rnacentral:rRNA from 1 species
GAGUAAAGAUUUCGGUCGCUUUGGGAGGAGCUCGCUUACUAUCAGCUUGUUGGUAGGGUAAUGGCCUACCAAGGCUAUGACGGUUAGGGGGUGUGAGAGCAUGACCCCCAGCAUUGGCACUGAAACACUGGCCAAACACCUACGGGUGGCUGCAGUCGAGAAUCUUCCACAAUGGGGGAAACCCUGAUGGAGCGAUGCUGCGUGCGGGAUGAAGGCCCUCGGGUUGUAAACCGCUUUUGUAGGGGACGAAAUUUUUGACGGUACCCUUUCGAAUAAGAGGUUGCUAACUCUGUGCCAGCAGCAGCGGUAAUACAGAGACCUCAAGCGUUAUCCGGAUUUACUGGGCGUAAAGCGUCUGUAGGGGGUUUAUUAAGUUCCAAGUAAAAUUUCAAGGCUCAACUUUGAAUUCGCUUGGAAAACUAAUAAACUGGAGUCUAGCAGAGGUGCAUGGAACUUGUGGUGUAGGAGUGAAAUCCGUUGAUAUCACAAGGAACACCAAAGGCGAAGGCAUUGCACUGGGCUAGCACUGACCCUGAGAGACGAAAGCGUGGGGAGCAAAACGGAUUAGAUACCCGUGUAGUCCACGCCCUAAACGAUGAAUGCUAAAUGUUCGGGGAUUCGACCCCCUGGGUGUUACAGCUAACGCGUUAAGCAUUCCGCCUGGGAAGUACGGCCGCAAGGCUAAAACUCAAAGGAAUAGACAGGGAUCCGCACAAGCGGUGGAGCGUCUGGUUUAAUUCGACAGUAAGCGUGGUACCUCACCAGGGUUUGACAUCCCUUGACAGCCUUGGAAACAAGGUUUCCUUCGGGCAAGGUGACAGGUGCUGCAUGGUCGUCGUCAGUUCGUGCCGUGAGGUGUUCCGUUAAGUCGGGAAACGAACGAAACCCCUAUUGCAUGUUACAAUUUCUCAUGCAAGACUGCCCGGAUAUACUGGGAGGAAGGUGGGGAUGACGUCAGAUCUGCAUGGUCCUUAUACCCUGGGCGACACAGGCGCUACAAUGGCAGAGACAAAGGGUUGCAAAACCGCAAGGUGAAGCUAAUCCCAAAAACUUUGUCUAAGUUCGGAUUGAAGGCUGCAAUUCGCCUUCAUGAAGCUGGAAUCGCUAGUAAUUGUGAAUCAGCCACGUCACGGUGAAUAUGUUCCCGGAUCUUGUACUCACCGCCCGUCACACCAAGAGAGUUGGUAGC